CAAUAGCGUAUAUUAAAGCUGUUGCGGUUAAAAAGCUCGUAGUUGGAUUUCUGUCAAGGACAACUGGUCCGCCCCUCGGGUGAGCACAUAGUUUGGUCUUGGCAUCUUGUUGGAAACUGUUGCUGCACUUGGUUGUGUGGCGCAGUGUCCAGCACUUUCACUUUGAGGAAAUUGGAGUGUUUCAAGCAGGCACAUGCCUUUGGACACAGUAGCAUGGAAUAAUUAGAUUGGGCUUUUGCUCCAACUUGUCGGUUUCUGGAGCUGAGGUGAGAAUUAAUGGGGAUUGUUGGGGGCAUCCGAAUUUAGCCGUCAGAAGUGAAAUUCUUGGAUCUGCUAAAGACGGACAACUGCGAAAGCGUUUGCCCAGGAUGUUUUCAUUGA
rnacentral:rRNA from 1 species